GUUUCAGGGCGGAGUGUAAUUCUCCACCGGUGGUAAAGUCCACGAGCAUAAGAUACAGCGGAGCUGUAUCCGGCAGAUUCGGUGUAAUUCCGAAACCGACGGUUAAAGUCCGGAUGAAAGAAA
rnacentral:ncRNA from 1 species